UACGUAGGGACCGAGCGUUGUCCGGAUUCAUUGGGCGUAAAGAGCUCGUAGGCGGCUGUUCAAGUCGAACGUGAAAACUCGGAGCUCAACUCCGAGCCUGCGUUCGAUACUGGACGGCUAGAGUCUGGUAGGGGGAUCUGGAAUUCCUGGUGUAGCGGUGGAAUGCGCAGAUAUCAGGAGGAACACCGGUGGCGAAGGCGGGUCUCUGGGCCGAUACUGACGCUGAGGAGCGAAAGCAUGGGGAGCGAACAGG
rnacentral:rRNA from 1 species